rnacentral:rRNA from 1 species
AGAGUUUGAUCCUGGCUCAGAUUGAACGCUGGCGGCAUGCCUUACACAUGCAAGUCGAACGGCAGCGGACCUUCGGGUGCCGGCGAGUGGCGAACGGGUGAGUAAUAUAUCGGAACGUGCCUUUCAGUGGGGGAUAACGUAGCGAAAGUUACGCUAAUACCGCAUAUUCUCUGAGGAGGAAAGCAGGGGACCUUCGGGCCUUGCGCUGAUAGAGCGGCCGAUAUCAGAUUAGCUAGUUGGUGGGGUAAAGGCCUACCAAGGCGACGAUCUGUAGCGGGUCUGAGAGGAUGAUCCGCCACACUGGGACUGAGACACGGCCCAGACUCCUACGGGAGGCAGCAGUGGGGAAUUUUGGACAAUGGGCGAAAGCCUGAUCCAGCCAUGCCGCGUGAGUGAAGAAGGCCUUCGGGUUGUAAAGCUCUUUCGGCCGGGAAGAAAUCGCACAGGCUAAUACCUUGUGUGGAUGACGGUACCGGAAUAAGAAGCACCGGCUAACUACGUGCCAGCAGCCGCGGUAAUACGUAGGGUGCGAGCGUUAAUCGGAAUUACUGGGCGUAAAGCGUGCGCAGGCGGUUUGGUAAGACAGGCGUGAAAUCCCCGGGCUCAACCUGGGAACUGCGCUUGUGACUGCCUCACUAGAGUACGGCAGAGGGGGGUGGAAUUCCACGUGUAGCAGUGAAAUGCGUAGAAAUGUGGAGGAACACCGAUGGCGAAGGCAGCCCCCUGGGCCGAUACUGACGCUCAUGCACGAAAGCGUGGGUAGCAAACAGGAUUAGAUACCCAGGUAGUCCACGCCCUAAACGAUGUCAACUGGUUGUUGGGGGGGUAAAACCCUUUAGUAACGUAGCUAACGCGUGAAGUUGACCGCCUGGGGAGUACGGCCGCAAGGUUAAAACUCAAAGGAAUUGACGG